rnacentral:lncRNA from 1 species
CUCCUCAUGAGGUCUGGUUAAUAUCAGGAAUUAUUGCCUCAAACGCUGCAGGUUCAACCUGGAUCAGAAGCCAAGACCAAUGCCGCACUUGGAAGGGACGACCAAUAGUUCUGUGUUCCUGACCUGUCUUACAGUCUUUCGCUUCUAUCCGCAGUGGACCAUUUGGCUGAUCACGUCACUCUACAGCUGUUCUGCCACAUUUGAGCACCCACAUUAAAGACAAAUGCUGUACCUCAGACUUGUCACCAAGAAAGCUCAGUGGAGAUUUUGUAGGUUGGGGAGAUAAUGAAGAGGCAAGACAGCAAUAUGGGAUUGGCUGGAAAGAUGACAGACUGCAUAUGCACAUCAAAUAAAUUCCAAACGCAGCCAUCUAUUCCCAAGGUUUGGACAAAACAAAGGAACGAAUGUGGAACAGAAGUUUCAAAGACCUCUACGGAAAGAUAAAGUUCUCGGAGGUAUCAACCUCAUAUGAAAGGGUCUUUUAAAAGGUCAUUUUAUUAAAGCUAUGGAGAAGAAGAUUGGUUGGCCUACAGUAUCUAAGCGGUCUGUAAGAUAUUUGUAACCCUAAUGACCUGCUGCUGAAGGAUAAUCAAACCACAGUGACUAGGAAAUCAUUUCAUCAUUCCAUAAAGAUCUGCUGAGCCCCUCUAAGUGCUGAGGACUAUGGAAAGAGGCCACAGUCAGGGCAGAUAGUCUUUGCCCUUAAUUGCUCAAGAAUGAAGUGGAUGCAAUCCUGGAACUCACAGUUGGGCAGGGGCAGUUUUCAGAUAUGACAGGCCUGCUUUCCUGAGAUAUGACUCAGCCCAGAAUAAAUAUUUGUGCUUCAUCGAAGGGUUUUACCAUU